GAUGAACGCUGGCGGCGUGCCUAAUACAUGCAAGUCGAGCGAACGGACGAGAAUCUUGCUUCUCUGAUGUUAGCGGCGGACGGGUGAGUAACACGUGGAUAACCUACCUAUAAGACUGGGAUAACUUCGGGAAACCGUAGCUAAUACCGGAUAAUAUUUUGAACCGCAUGGUUCAAAAGUGAAAGACGGUCUUGCUGUCACUUAUAGAUGGAUCCGCGCUGCAUUAGCUAGUUGGUAAGGUAACGGCUUACCAAGGCAACGAUGCAUAGCCGACCUGAGAGGGUGAUCAGCCACACUGGAACUGAGACACGGUCCAGACUCCUACGGGAGGCAGCAGUAGGGAAUCUUCCGCAAUGGGCGAAAGCCUGACGGAGCAACGCCGCGUGAGUGAUGAAGGUCUUCGGAUCGUAAAACUCUGUUAUUAGGGAAGAACAUAUGUGUAAGUAACUGUGCACAUCUUGACGGUACCUAAUCAGAAAGCCACGGCUAACUACGUG
rnacentral:rRNA from 1 species